rnacentral:rRNA from 1 species
CCUACGGGAGGCAGCAGUGGGGAAUUUUGGACAAUGGGCGCAAGCCUGAUCCAGCAAUGCCGCGUGAGUGAAGAAGGCCUUCGGGUUGUAAAGCUCUUUUGUCAGGGAAGAAACGGCUGAGGCUAAUACCUUUGGCUAAUGACGGUACCUGAAGAAUAAGCACCGGCUAACUACGUGCCAGCAGCCGCGGUAAUACGUAGGGUGCAAGCGUUAAUCGGAAUUACUGGGCGUAAAGCGUGCGCAGGCGGUUUUGUAAGUCUGACGUGAAAUCCCCGGGCUCAACCUGGGAAUUGCGUUGGAGACUGCAAGGCUGGAGUCUGGCAGAGGGGGGUAGAAUUCCACGUGUAGCAGUGAAAUGCGUAGAGAUGUGGAGGAACACCGAUGGCGAAGGCAGCCCCCUGGGUCAAGACUGACGCUCAUGCACGAAAGCGGNGGGAGACAACAGAGUAGAUACCUACGUAGUCGACCGACCCGUAACCGACUAGUCUACUAGUUGUUCGGUUCGUUAAUUAGUACGUUAGGUAACGUACAGCUAACG